CGGAAAUGCGAUACGCAUUGUGAAUUGCAGAUUUCAGUGAACCAUCAGAUUUCCGAACGCAUAUGGCGCUGCGGGGACUUCCCCGCAGCACGUCUGUUUCAGUGUCUUU
rnacentral:rRNA from 1 species